rnacentral:rRNA from 1 species
UUACGGGAGGCAGCAGCUAAGAAUCUUGCGCAAUGGGCGAAAGCCUGACGCAGCAAUUCCGCGUGGGGGACGAAGGCCCUCGGGUCGUAAACCCCUUUUGUGAGGGAAGAAGUUCUGACGGUACCUCACGAAUAAGACACGGCUAACUACGUGCCAGCAGCCGCGGUAAUACGUAGGUGUCGAGCGUUGUCCGGAUUUAUUGGGCGUAAAGCGCCCGCAGGCGGCUUGGUAAGUUCGAGGUGAAAUCUCCCGGCUCAACUGGGAGGGUGCCUCGAAAACUAUCAGGCUUGAGGCAGGGAGAGGGAUGUGGAAUUCCCGGUGUAGUGGUGAAAUGCGUAGAUAUCGGGAGGAACACCAGUGGCGAAGGCGGCAUCCUGGCCCUGUCCUGACGCUCAGGGGCGAAAGCGUGGGGAGCAAACCGGAUUAGAUACCCGUGUAGUCC